UCCAGUGCCUCGCACGUGCUAGAUGAGCACUCUACUGCUGAGCCACAAUCCCAGCCCCUCCUGUUUGUUUUUAAUAGUUGCAUAAUUGCCCAUCAAGUGGGAGUAUGGCAAAAGUUUAUUUUAAAGAUUCCCUGUUGGUGGACAUUUGAAUUGUUUGUUCACAAGUUUACAUACUGCAAUGAAGAUCUUUUACAAGGCUUUCCCUGCAUUUUUGAGAAUAGUAGGAAGAGUAAAUGGUAUUUGGAUAAAAGAAUUAACAAAUUUUGAGGGUUUCUGUGCAUAGUUAACUAAAUGUCUUUCCAAGAAGACUGUAGGAGUUUAUGCAGAAUGUUAUCACUUAAGAUGUUGCCAGUGGGAUUGUACAGGCUGCAGAGUAGAGGGCUGGAACAGGCAUAGGAUCAUGUUGCCUCAUGAAGCAGAGUGGUGAACCACCUAAGUGAGCAAGGGGAUUGUAAGUAAUGAGCACUAGACAAAGAGGGAAUCUGCGUCCUUGCCCAGCUUAUCAGGUUCUCUCUCCCCAGAACCUGAUGGUUUUAACUGGUAGGUGAGGCUGGAAUUCCUCAACAGGUAGAGAUGCCAGCUAUGGAGAGGAGGAAGCAAAUCCAGUGAAUGACUUCCCCUCCGUGUUGCUGAGGCCAGGUGGGGAUGUUGAACUGAGCUGCUGUUGUCUCCCAGGGAAGGAAUCCCAUGAAGAGUAUGGGGGAAGAUUGCUACUUCUGUAAAAUUAGGGUUCUGAAAGGAUCUGCUAAACUCAGCUUCUGGUUACUGACCACCUGUGGCAUGCCUCAUGACAGACCGGUGCUGCCACCCUGUGGCAGACUUGAGCAUUACCAGGCCUGGGAUCGCUCCAGGGGGCUAAACCAGGAGCAAACUUGAUGCCUACAGGUCAAUCAGAGGACAAGUGAACAGUAGGCUAGUCUGGCUGGGAACUGGAAAGUACAGCCCUGCCUAGAGGGGGCAGUAGUGAUUCAGCUUUCAAUUUGUGCUGCUUGCACUGGCACUGAGAUUUUCCAUUUUUUUCCUCAAAAAUGCUGGAAAUUCAAUGGAGUUUUAAUUUUUUUAUUUGUGAAAACUUCUGUUUCGUUUUGUUUUUUUUUAAAUGUGACAGUUUGUUUUUAAAAAAAAUUAAGCAUGCUAACACACUUGCAGGGUUAAUUGGGCUAGGGGCUGCCAAUUAGUGAUCUUUCAAAAUGCCCUUCUCAGGAUGUAGCUUGUAGACUGCUUGCCUGGCAUGUGUGAGGCCCUGGGUUCCAUCCCCAGCAUUGGAACAACAACAACAAAAAGCCCCUCUGCUAAUGACAUGGCCUAAUUCAUUUUUUUAGUUGUCUAACAACUUGUAACAAAUAUCAGGUCCCAUAAUUGGUUUCCAUUGAACACUUUUGGGUCUCCUGCACAUGCGCAGUUUAAUAUCAACCUAAGCAAAACAUUUGAGGAAGGAAAGCCACAUAAAUGAUAGAAAAAGAUUUUCCCAGAGACAUUUUUAGAUUUUCAGAUAUUUUAAAACAACCCUGUCUCUGCUGGUAUGCCUCCUACCAGUGCCUUGCUAAGGAAGCGCUAUCUUUGGAAAUGCAAGUUGUUCCCUUCUUCAGGCUCACUUUGAUUGUGCCCCCUUUUAAAUAAUUUCAUUUCCUAGGGCAAAUCCUGGCGGAAUUUCUGCCUCCAGCAAGUCUAUUAAUAUUCUCAGCUAGAUCUUUCUUUCCCACGGACUGGCUGAGAUCUACUGCCGUAGUGGCUGUGCAUGCUCUCCUGCUUCUGUGCAGGUGACAUCAAGUAGCAGGGCUAAUGUAGAUGUAGGUAAAGACAAGUCAUGGUUGCUGGGGUGAAUCAGGGUAUGGACUGGUUUUCUUCCAUGUUUGCUGAUUCACCUUGAAAGCAUGUGACCCUCUCUUACUGGUCCCACAGUCACAGUUCAUUGAAACACAUUAUUAAGUGGCUGAGCUUGGAGCUCUUUGCUUGUCCUCUACUCCCCUAGGUUCUUUUUUUUUUUUUUUUAAUUAGCCCCGUGAUGGUGGUGGCUUUGGAGCAGGGUUAUCCUGUCUGAGCACGGCAGGAAUCACUUCUCUGCCCUCAGCGGCUCAGUGUCUGGUGCUUUUCCACUCUCGACCCUUUCCUGUGCCUGUUGCUGUGUUAGCAUGUCAGCUGGGUAGCUGCCAGGACAAACCUUCCAGAGAGCCCUUUGACUCUUGUCAGCUUCCCAAGGUCCUGGGCUGGUGGGACUGUUGGCCAAAUGAAACAGCAUGGAAUUAGUCCCACUGAAGUGUGGGUUGGGGGCAGUCAGCUGGGAUGAAGAGGCUCUGCCUUGCCUCGCUUUUCCUCAUCCAUGUUGGCGUGGGUCUCUACGUAUUUGUGGAGUGCUGAGCCAGGGCAGUGUGGUAGAAUGAGAGUAAAAUGGGUUUUGGAGAUUGGCAGAUUGAGUUAUGAACAAUGUUUCAACAACUAGAUCUUGGUCAAGUCACUGAAGCCUUUCUGAAGCUCAGUAUCCUCAUUUGAAAAACAUAAGACUUUUUGGAAGUGGUUUGAGGGAGGAUAAGGUAGUGUAUGUGAAGUUUUAGCACAGCCCAUAGCAACUAGUAGGCACUCAGUGAGUGUUAGCUGCUUUAAUUUUUAUUGCAGGGAAUGCCUAUAUUUCCUGCAGUUGUUACAUGUACGAUUGUGACCCUGGUGAGUGGGAGAAGAGAGCGAUCUCAGCUGGUGACCCCAAGGACCCUCACAGGCCUGGUGGUUGAGGGCUUCUUAGGAAUAGUUAUGGAAAGGACUGGCUUUCCUAAGAACCAAGCUGACCUGGGGGACUGCAGCCUUUAGACCUGGUUACUGAGUAGUACUCCACAGUGUGGUCUGCAAAGGCAAGAGGUGAGAAGUGGGGAGUAAGUCAUCCAGAGGUGUUCUGACCCAAGAGGUCAUGGAUCAGGAGAAUGGGAAGACAGAGCCUUGGACUUGAAGGCAAGAGAACUGGGAGGCUUGGGGAUGCUAUCCUUUCUCCUGGCCUUUGGUUUCCUAGCCUGCAAAAUGGGGUGCUAAAAUGUUCCCUGCUGGUAGCACAGGAAGAGAAGCCGAUUUGAGUACUUUGAAGACAUGCAAGGGCUGGACGUGCUGACCCAGUAAAACUUCUUUUAUCUAAGUGGGAUGGCAGCCAAUCUGAAC
rnacentral:lncRNA from 1 species